rnacentral:rRNA from 1 species
CACGCCCUAAACGUUGAUUACUCGUUGUUGGCGAUACACAGUCAGCGACCAAGCGAAAGCGUUAAGUAAUCCACCUGGGGAGUACGUCCGCAAGGAUGAAACUCAAAGGAAUUGACGGGGGCCCGCACAAGCGGAGGAGCAUGUGGUUUAAUUCGAUGAUACGCGAGGAACCUUACCUGGGCUUGAAUGUUAGUGACCGGCUGGGAAACCAGUCAUCUCUUCGGAGCACAAAACAAGGUGC